rfam:Caenorhabditis remanei strain PB4641 contig5.21, whole genome shotgun sequence.
CCAACGGCCCUCUUUAGGGCCACAAAUAGAAUCAGAAUCCAUUACG